rnacentral:lncRNA from 1 species
GGGAAAAAAAUUCCUUUACAGCAACCUGAAGCCCAAGGCAGGAAAGCUGAAUUUGCUUCCAUGUAGUUCCAGCACUGAAUGUGCUUUGGCAACAUCUUCCAUAUAUUCCAGAGGCAGGAGGAGGGAGAUGGUUCAGAUUUAGUUGUCAGAGCAGAAGACUCCUCUCCCUCCUUUUUGUCAUCUCAACCAGUCAUGAGGAGGUAAAGUGGAAGGCAUUAGCUUAACAUGAAGAGCUAUGAUUUUCUUCGUUAUCUUCAAAGGAGGCAGCAUCUUGUCACCUGCCAUCUGUUUUACCUGCCAAUUAAGUGGUCCACAGGGAGCCAUACAAGGAGACAGCACCCAGCUGGGCUCAUUGGCACUCUCAGCUGCAGUCCCAAUACAACCAGUUAUGCACAAAUCAGCCCAGAUCCGGCGUGCUGUGUUCCCACCUCCCGAAGGCCUGAAUGACCAGGUUCAGGUAAUGUUUUCGCCAUGGAAUAGUUUUUGAUUCCCCCCACCCCUUACUUUUGCACAAGGCUUUGGAAACUGGGGUGCCCCCCAGCACCUGCAAGGCCUGAGCGCUCCCCUCCGGCUGGGAGGACGGCGGCGGCAGCGCUGGCUGGCACCACCAGGUCCACCCUCCCUCUCUGGAGGUGACCGGUCCUGUGAGUGGUCCCUUACUCUUAAAUAACCUUCCCAGAGAUGUUAAGAAUACACAUAGAGAAUUGGGCACUAUUAGACAAAGCGGAAAGACUUAAUGCUGCCUUAAAAAUCUCAAGGCCUGCUGCAGCAGUGGGGUGACGCUGCAAACCACUGCUGCGCAGAAGGCGAGGACGAGGGCUUUACAAUGGCCUCCUGGUGCUUUGAACUCAGCAGCGCUCCCCAGGUGCCAGCACGACAGCAAGGAGGCCUAAACUUCACAAG